rnacentral:rRNA from 1 species
CCUACGGGUGGCAGCAGUGAGGAAUAUUGGUCAAUGGUCGGGAGACUGAACCAGCCAAGCCGCGUGAGGGAGGAAGGUACAGAGUAUCGUAAACCUCUUUUGUCAGGGAACAAAGACUAGGACGCGUCCCCGGAUGAGUGUACCUGAAGAAAAAGCAUCGGCUAACUCCGUGCCAGCAGCCGCGGUAAUACGAAGGAUGCGAGCGUUAUCCGGAUUUAUUGGUUUUAAAGGGUGCGAAGGCGGUCUGUUAAGUGAGCGGUAAAAGCCCGGGGCGCACCCCCGGCCCGCCGUUGACACUGGCAGUCUCGAGUUGGAGAGAAGGAUGCGGAAUGCGCGGUGUAGCGGUGAAAUGCAUAGAUAUCGCGAAGAACUCCGAUUGCGAAGGCAGCAUGCCGGAUCCACACUGACGCUGAGGCACGAAGGCGUGGGUAUCGAACAGGAUUAGAUACCCCAGUAGUC